rnacentral:lncRNA from 1 species
AUCCAUUCCAAUCUCUUCCUUGUACUGUAGAGGCUGCAAAGUUAAACACUACAUUUCCCACAAUCCCUUGCAGUUAAUAUUCUGCAUGCAAAUUAGAGUCUGUAAAUUGCAUUGAUUUUUAUGAGAGGGGAGAAGGAAGUGAAGCCAAGGCCAUCUCUCAGCUGUGUGGUUGUUGCUCCAUGUUUGUGGCAACCUUGGGUUGCUUCAGCAGCAUUCCAAUGUCCAAUCACUAGCUACAUGAGGUUGAAAAGCAGUGAUGGCAGCAGUGAAGGUGAGUCACCACCACAGCAUGGCUGCUAAUAGACUAGUGGUGGAGGUCCACACCCGGGAUCUGAACCCAGGCUGCUGAAGCAGAGCAUGCUGAACUUAACCAGUAGGCCGCCGGGACUGGCCCUGAUUUGAUGCUUUAUUCAUCAGUUAACAAACAUGUAUCAAGCACCUUCUAUGCUCCUGACACUCUUCUAAAUGCUGAGUACUGAGUGGUGAGUUAUAGGGGACAGGAAUUAUGAUCCCUGAUUUUCCAAUGAGGGAACAGAGACCCCCAAGACAGAGAGGCAAAGGGCCUUGCUCAGCAUGGAGGACGGAAGACUCCCAGGCCAGGGCAGGGAGGGAAGGCGAUUUGCCUGAAGCCACCAUUGCUGCCCUUCCCCCUCCUCUAGAAAGAAGCGGAUUCUGUGCCCACCAGGUUACAAU